AAUGUCCCCUUUGUCAUUCUGAUUGUGUUUUUCUCUUUUUUUUAUUAGUCUAGCUAGCAGUCUAAUUUCUUCCAAGGAACAAACUCCUGGAUUCGUUGACCUUUUGUAUGGUUUUUCUUCUCAUUUUUCUUCAAUUUAGCUCUGAUUUUGGUUAUUUAUUUUGUCUUCUGCUAACUUUCGGGUUGGGUUGCUCUUUUCUCUCUCUUUUUCUUCUUCUUCUUUUUUUUUUUAAAUAGGUUUCAUUAUGUUUCCAGUGUAGGAUUGUGACAUGCCUCCUCAUUUCACUGUGAGCCAUUCCCUUGACUCUAAGCUAAAUUAGUGCACUACUUCUUACAAGAGUGUAUCUUUGACAACCUAAAAUAAUUAGGUUACUAUGGCAUACAAAAUUAUAACCUACUCUAUAGUAUGUUUGUGAUAAUCAUUUAUAAUGGUAAAACUGUAAAACAAAAGCUGUAUUGAUAAUUGUCGAUAAAAAUGUGAACUACAUAGAUAUUUUGCUUAUGCUGCCUAGUCUACUUUGGCAGUUUGCAUCUGGGUGUAAAAAUCCUUCUAAAAAACAGGUAAGACAUUUGUGAGGCUGAGGAAAAUACAUUAUAAAGAGGGUAGUAAAGAUUUUUCUUCUUCUUUUGUGUGUGUAAAUGUUUUAUUAUUAUUCAAGUAAUACGUGAAUACAUGCUCAUUUGUACAAGAAUUCAAACCAUGUGUAAAUAUAUAGAGUAAAAUGUGAAAAUAUUCCUUCAGUUACCGCCUACCACUGUCCCUCCAGAGGAAGCUACUAUUAAGAAUUUGAUUUGUAUCCUUUUCCGCCAACAUGGUUACACAUAUUAAGGUAACUAAAAGGGAGAAAAAGUCAGUUUAACAAAGAAGUUAACCAUGCUUUCUUUGAAGCUGGGCUUCCUGGGUUAAAACCCAGAUUCUGUUACUUAAUGUUGUGUGAUAUUGGUGAUGUUAUCUAAUGUCUCUGUGCCUGGGUUUCCUCAUAGGUAAAAUGGGGAUAUUAAGCGCUUCAUAGACAUGUUAUGAGGAUGUCUUUAGCAUGUGUGAAGUAUUUAGAAUAGUGCCUGGCAUAUAGUGCACACAAUUCAUCAUGGAAUCAUGAUGCAUAUAUUGUUUCACAACUUGUAUUCUGUACACAUAGGGGAAAUGUAGUGUAGCCAUUAAGAGCAUGGAUUCUGGUUCUGAAUCCAAUUAUCAGGUGCAAAUCCUAGUUCUAUCAUUUACUAGCUUUAUGCCUGUCAGGAAGUAUAUAAACUUCCUUUGUUUUCUCUGUAAAAUGGGGGUAGUAGCUUUAGCUCUAAAUUAAGUACUAUAUAUAGGACAUUUAGAAUGACUGACAUGUAGUAAUUACUCUGUAGAUGCUUAUUAUUAUUAUGUCAUUGAAAGCACUCAGUUUAUUAUUUCAUGUUAUAGAUAUAUUAUAAUUAAUUUAACAAUUCGUAGUUGAUGGUCAUUUAGAUUACUUCUAAAUAUUCAUUGUUACAAAAUAUUCUGGUAUCCAUACUUUAACUAAAGAUGGAAUUACCAUUUGACCCAUUAGACCCACUGCUGGGUACCUAUCAGAAGAAAAAUAAAUUGUUAUGUAAAAAAAAACACCUGUACUUGUGUGUUUAUCACAGCACUAUUCACAAUAGAAAAGUCAUGGAAUCAAUUUGAGUGUCCAUCAGUAGAUGAUUGGAUAAAGAAAAUAUGGUAUAUACACACAAUAGAAUACUACCCAGCCAUAAAAUAAGAGUGAAAUCAUGUCUUUUGCAGCAGCAUGAAUGGAGUUUGAGGCCAUUAUCCUAAGUGAAAUAACUUAGAAAGAGAAAACAAAAUACCACACUUUCCCACUUACAAGUGGGAGCUAAAUGGGUAUAAAUGAGCAUACGGAGGAAAAUAAUAGACACUGGAGACUACAGAAGGGGGCAGGUUGGGAGGGGGAUGAGGGUUGAAAAAUUACCUGUUGGGUACAAUGCUCACUUUUCAGGUGAUGGGUAUGCUAGAAGCCUAAACUCCACCACUGCACAAUAUAUCCAUGUAACAAACCUGCACAUGUACCCCAUGAAUCUAUAAAUAUUUUUUAAAAAUUAAAAUAACCUUGUCUCUGCCUUAACUUGUAUGAAAAAAAGCUAGUGCUAUUAACAUUUUCCCAUUCUCAUUGUUACUGAAAACUUGAAUAAACAUUUUCAAGAUCCUCUUUUGGAUCACUACCAUACCGAACAUGUGAUCAAUCCAUGUCAUUUUCUUAUUAGUUUGGUUCAAUCCCAGGGUGUGAGUGGAAAGCAGAACAAUUUGUGUGGUUAAAGCUUUAUUUUUGAAGAGUAAACGAAAUAUGAGAACUAAAUGAGCCAAACAGGACAUCUUCUGUGUUUUUACUGUUGGAGUCUCAGAAAAACAAAUCUUUAGGUAUCCUGAUAUUUCAAAAAGGAAUAUACUAGAAACUUACUUUGUAAAACUUGUCUAACAAAAUGCUUAGAGAAGCUUUCCUAAUUGAUCUUCUGUACAAAGAACAGAAAUAUGCAAAAUUUUGCAAACCAUUUACAUGUAAGAAGACUGAAAAGGAAACUUGGAAAAAGAAGAUUUUAGAUAGAGAAGAAAAUUCACUUUCCUCUGCUAAGAUGGAAAAUCAAGAAACAACUAGGAAAGAAAGUGUAACAGAGCAAAAUGAUGAUACAGAUCAAAUAAAAUCUGUGGAUGAGACAACUGUAGCAAAAUGCAAAGGUAUUACCUCUUCCAGGAAAUGUGUCAGUUGCGUUGCCCAUUUCAAAGAGAGAAAAACAUGAUCAAAGACAACUAGAUUUAUAUAGAUCCUGGUUGUGUAUGAGUAUUUGUCACAAUUAUUCUGACCUACAGAUUGGAGGUGACGAUGUGAGGAACAUGUGUGAUUCAGGCUGCUUUACGGAACACACACAUAAUGAUGUUUUUAAUGGUCCCCUUUUGUUUUCAGUUGGUAGGCCACUGGGUCAUUCUCCUGUCAUUGGGCCUCUAGAGACAUUACCUACCUCAAAAUUAUUGAAUGGGGAUGAAAGCCAAGAAAAAAGUAUGUUGUUUCAUAAACAGCCCCUCUCUAAUUCUAUGCUUAAUACUUAUAUGGAAAGAAAGGUGGACUAGCUCUGCAAACAAUUAUUGGAAGAAAAUCUCACCAGAUGCCACUCUGUAACCAAUCUUAUGGCUUCCAAUUUGCUAAUGAAUAAUGUAAAUUACAUCAGCUUUCAAAUCUCUCAAGAGCAGAACAUUGAGUUAUGGAAAGCUCAGGAAGCUGCCCUACACUCUACCACUAUGUAAUCUGUGUAACAUUUCUCAUGGAAAGAGUGGAAAGAGUUCUUAAUUCAGUACCCCUGACUUACAAAUAUCGAACCAGACAAGUAGGGAACUUCUAUCACAUCUACAGUAGAUAACAAAUGUAGGUUGUUUGGACAGACUUAAGAGACUGCAAUAACAAGAGUUUUUUCUAGCUUAUCAUGUCACAUCUAGCCUUCUUUGGGGUGUGGUUAUUAUAGUUUUUGAGAAAUGAUUUGACCCAUGGUACAUCUGAAUUCUUAUAGGAGACAACUAUAGUAACUACGUUUUAGAGUGCAAGUUCUUAAUGUGUUGAUAUUUUAAUAGUUGCCAAACUAAACUCUGUAUGCGUUUACCUAUUUAAUUGUCACUGGCACCCCAAAUCAAUUACCUCAGUGUCGCACAGCUUUAUUUACAACAAAAAUGGGAUGAGGAGUGGAUUAUUGCUCCAAGAUACUGAAGGACCAUGAGAAGGUAUAUCAGAGAGGGACAUUUAUUUCCCCACAAAAACGCAUUUAUACUGACAAUCAAAAUAGUCUAGGGGAAAUUAUGAUAUGUAGUUAUGGAUAUGGAUAUCUAUAUCUGGAUAUCUAUAUGUGGAUAUCUAUAUCUGGAUAUCUAUAUGUGGAUAUCUAUAUCUGGAUAUCUAUAUGUGGAUAUCUAUAUAUCAAGAUUGAGUAUGGGGACAUAUAAAAGGAAAUACUUUAAACAAAAGUCAAAUUUAAAUGAUGUUUGAAAGAAACAUGGAGGGAGGGCUUAAGGAAAAAUGGAAAAUUUGUAAGUACCAUUUAUAUUGAAACUUGGUGCUUUGGAACUUUCCUGGAACGAGCAUUAACUGUUUUAUAUCACUGUUAUCUCUGGUUGUUUUUAGAGAUGGGAGGAAAAAAAACACACAGGUAGAGUGAAGAAAGUAGAGAACCACCAUUUAGAAAUAAAAAGGUUCUCAGCAACUUAUUACACAUCAGAUUAUCCUCAAUCAUGAUCCUGGCAGUAGUUUAUUAUGGAAAUUUUCGGAUCCAAAUUAAAUAAAUUAACAAAAUAUAUCUAAAGUAACAGUAUAAUUUAUUGCAGACUUGGAAAGAAGACUCCAUACUUUUAAUAGAAAUAGGAAAAUGAUAGACAUGCACUUCUGUGUUGUAAAAUAAAAUGGUAUUAAUUUCUGUUAUAGAAUUCUUACAAUUGCAUUAUGCAUUAAUAAGAUUUGUGCAUUGACAAUCAUAUAUUCCCUUCCAUCCCUUCCAAUUUUUUCUUGGGUCUUUGAUUAACUCUUGUAGAAUGAGUCACUGUAAUGCCCUAAUAGCUCGUUUUUUAUGAUCACACAAUACUUCGUUUAUUUUCACCCUCUUCAAAUGUAUAUGAUCUAAUAAUAGUAAGUACCCCUGAUUUGUCUUCUGUUUUUCUCUUUAUUGCUCCCUUCCACACCAUCCUCUACCAUAACCAUACCAAUUAAUGUUUAUCAUUCAGACAUUUGAUUCUGAAGAGACAAUGAGUAAGAGUUUAAAGUAACUCAGUAUCUUUAGAUAUUGAAAAAAAGUUGUAUGUAUAUUGUCUUUUAUGCUGUUAAAUUUCGGCAUUUUAAUAGGAGAGUUACUAAAAUUAUGAAAUAUUAAUGUUAACAUUUACAAAAGUGAAUUAAAUAUCAUGGGACAGUAUUACUAGUGUGGAUUGUUUUCUUAGGUCCAGUAAUAUGUAUUAAUAUUUUAUGAAACAGAUAUAUUCAUAAAGUGUUGAAAUUACAUAGUAUCAUAUACAAAACCACAGUAUUUAGUAUAUAUCAAAUUUAUAAAUGCAUUUAAUUACGCUCUCAUAUUUAAAAUUUCCCCCUCUUUAUCUGUGUCAUCAAAAUAUUUAUCAUCUAAAGAUACUCACUUAUGGUUAAAAUGGUUUAAAAAUAUAAUGCAAUUCUUAAGUAAGGAAAGAUGAUGAAUUUGGUGUUACGUUUUAUCCUGACCUCAUACCUACUGACUUCAGUGCUUGAAUGAAAUAUGCAUAUGACGUUGUGAUUUAGCAUAGUUUGGCUUUAAGUAGUCAUUCUUCAUUCUGUUGUUCACCAUCGGUAUUAUUUAUAUGACCAUAAUGUUCCCUUUCAAAACAUUUUUUGAAAUGUAUGGAAUAAUAAAUUUCUUUUUGUCUCACA